CAAGCUUUGUGGUGUGCUGCUCAAAACUUAAAUUACUGUCGAACCAGACACCAAGAUUCAGGCCUGAUAUGAUCCACAAGGCAACCAACAGAUGGCAGUAUUUGCUUUGCCAUUUGCUGGGACCCAGUUACUAGGAUCUCUGAUCUCUUGUCUGAGUUCAGCCGGAGGUAAUUUUUGACAUCACAGAGUGAUCAUGUGUUGCUAUCAGCUGUGACAGAUAAACAGCCUGUGAUCAGCCGUGUUUUGUUGAGAUCAAAUGUAUCGCUUGGUAUUGCAGAUGGAUACGUGUAACAGUUUCACUGUUUCUAUAUACAAAGUAUAAAUUGCACUUUAGUCCCGCCCACAAGGGAUGCAUGGAGAGACCGAGAGACGCAAGGAAAUCAAGCCAGGAGAGAAGGAACGAGGAAAUGUGUUUUUAGAGGAAUGACGUCCUUUCCUCCGAAGCGUCACGUAAAGCGACGUCCGUUAAGAUGGCGGCAGCUGAUCGCAGCUGGAUCAGUCGGCUCUAACAGCUGUAGAGACUACAAGAUGUCACAGGGCUUUGACGUCAUUUUCAGGCCUACAUAAGCGUCCAUGCAGGCUUUGGUCGGCUUCACUGUUUCAACUGUGGCUUACCCCCUUGGCAGAAACUCAUAGACGAACUCCACAGAAAUGGUUGUGAAGGUCAUCAUCAAAGUCGGUUUGUCCGGAGGGACGGAGACGACCAUCGGCCUUUGCGACACCGAGGAGCAGUUUCAGAGCAUCACAGUGCGGCAGCUGAAGGAGAAGAUAAGUCAGGCAGAGAAUCUCCCAGGGUUGUCAGUACCACUGGUCUUCAAAGACACGUAUUUGGACAGAGACGACGCUCUGCUGUCUGAAUAUGGAAUCCAACACAUGUCAGUCAUUUACAUUUGCCUACCUGAACCACAGGGGCCUGGUGGUGGAAUGGGUGACAAGGAGGGCAAAAACAGAAGUAUGGAAAUGCUCUUUCUUUUUUAAAACCUACCCUGGAUACAACUGUUUCCUACCGGGACACGUUUUAAUAUUUAUUGUUAAAAGACCGCUUUAACCUAAGUGGCAAGUCGAAUCACUGGAGGAAGUAAAGUCCACUGAGUCUUCAAGAAGGCUGAUGAUUACCCUGGCCUGUCUUCAUCAUGAUUUAUCACCAUCUGUCAUCACUUUUAGUUCAAACUACUCAUCAGACUUCAGAUAGACAUCCAAAUUCAUCAGUUACAAAGCUGUCCAGUUCUUGUCUACCAUACAUACAAGGACUAAUUUUCCAUGACAUUUUGCCAUGUAAAUUAAGACUUUUUGUUCAUACUAAAAACAUGGCUGACGCAGCAAGAAUUCAACAGUCAAUAUUCUGUGUUUAUCAGUCUGUAUUCAGUCUUUAAUGUUGUUAAACUGUCUAACUGGACCAGGAUUUGGAUCUGUCUGAGUUGAAUUGUGUUUUAUGACUUUUACUGUAUAUUAAUUGAUGUCACCAACUGACAUGGCUGCAAAGUAAUAGAUAAAUAUUGACCAUCACACACAAAUAAUUUGUAUCCUUAAAUCAUAUAACUUUAAAAAAGUGUUAAAAAGACGUUUGUGUUCAGAAAUUUGUGUGAAACAUUGUUUGUUUAACAUCAAUUAUUUUAGUAGUCAUAUUUAACACACAACUGUACCAGUUUUUCUGUUAAUACCCUUUGCUUUGUUUGCAUUUACUAAACUUUCCAGCAUGAAACUGAAGCAUUUUUCUAUGGGCUCAUGGAAUCAGACUCCGAAAGACCUAAAAAACUGUUUGUUUUAACCUUAAAACUUACAGAAGUGUUAAAACAAUAUAUGUUUACGUGACUUUUUGUGACUUGUUGGAUAUGCAACCACUUUCCAAGUCAGAGGAGGCAGUUAUGCUUGGUUAUUGACUUAGCUAAACUCGGGCACAGAACAUCAGGCUAGCAAUGUCCAUGCGAUGAGCCACAAAUCCCGUUUAACAACAACAAAUCCUGCGAGAUUAUGUCACAUUCCUGACCAAUCAACAUACUACAUUUAGCAACAAGCAACAUCUUAGAUAAGGUGUGGGAAUGAGGUAGCCUAAAACUUAGCUAUUAUGAACUAUCAAAUCAACCUUUCAAAAUGGUCUUUUGGAUGCUGCCAUUAUAAUUUUCUGUUGUAAACUGAGUGUUAUAUCAGAGUCAUCUGUUAAUAAAAGUAAACCUGAACAUAAAGGGAUAUCAAACAUUUGGAAAGCACUUUUACUACAUAAAGCCUCACAAUGGGUGGGUUAUUUACCAAUUAUUGUGAAAUCCAUAAAAUCUCUCGACUUGAACUAAAUAAUUUCAUGUGAGCUAACGUUACACAACUAACUUACCACAGGCAACACAAAGUUAGCAAAACGAACAGCAAACAUAGCUGGAGAUGACACGAAUGAACCUGAUCCUGGCUCACGAGUGUUGAGUUAAAUAAAGUUUCUUCACUUUAUCUUUAACCUGAUGGUUGAAACCAGUCCUCCUUAUUGUCUUGUACAGAUGAGGAAGAUGCUAGUUGGAGGGAAUACUGUCAACUCAUGGGAUGGAAUUUCACAGAAAUGCAAACAUAUAUUGUAUUGUAGUGAGUUAUUUGUGGCUUUUUUUGUACAGAUUUGUACACAUUGGCCAAAUUGCAAACAAGUGUAGAAAGGAAGUCACAAAUGUAACAUAACCCGUAAUCGGCUUUGGAAAUUUCUCCUAUCAAUUUGUGACUGGACAAAUGUGCAAUGUCUGUAUUUUUGUGGAUAUGAUUUUACACUAAUGUAAAAAAUACAUAUUAGUGGAUUGUGAAAUAUUUGUGGAUCACAAUACAUAUUUGUGGGUUAAAAAUAAUAAAGUCCAAUAAAAACAUC